rnacentral:sRNA from 1 species
CAGGGAGGGCGGGAGUUUAGGCUGCGCUGACCCCUCUCAGCCCCCCCUCCAGGAGACGUUCGGAGCCCAGGACAUGUCGGGAAUGAGGAGAUACGAGGUGGCGCUGGAGGCGGAGGAGGAGAUCUACUGGGGCUGUUUCUACUUUUUCCCCUGGCUUCGCAUGUGGCGGAGGGAGCGGAGCUCGGCGCACCCCGGGGAGCAGAAGCUGGAGCCUCUGCGAGGCCUGAUGAGCUGUCUGUCCAGCGGCCUGGGUCCUACUCCCCAGCGCUCGGGUCGUGGCCUCCCCCGCCGCAGCCCCACCGCCGCUGCCCAGCCAGGCAGUGCAUUAAAGAUUUAAACCGAAGCCCACCGUACUGACCUCCUGACUCUGCCGCCGCUGUCGCCAUUCGAGCCGAGCGCCCCUCCCCACACUGGCUCUGUUCCGUACUGACAGGACGUCCCUCCCUGGAAGGGUGCCCUUCUACGUCAAAGCCCCUCAUCAGUGUCAGGCUUCCUGUUACUAUCAAUGACUGUCUCCCCCAAUCCCAACCCCCAAAAACCCAUACUGUGAGUCGCCUAUAUGGAGAAAAUUAAAUAAUCCUGCCUGUUACUCCCUUCCUCGGAGCCAGAACUUUGCCAGCUGUCUGAAGAAUCUUCUCUGCUGGGAGUGUAUCUAAAACAUUUUAAGCAGAGGUGUAGGAUGCAGGCUGUAAAUGAUAAGAGGGGGAGAUUUCCUAGAAGCUGCCUGCCACAGAGGAGCGACUUGGGUUGGCGACCUUUUCUACAGUUCAUACCCCAACUUUUGGCUCCUCCAGUCUGAUCCCAAGUUUAGAGAUCCUUGGCAUCAGCCUACCUAACAGUUCUUGCUCCCUCCCUAGGAGAGUCCAAGGUCCACUGCUCUCUGCCGCCCCCUUCUGUCACCCAAUCAGCCUGGGACCCACUAACUCCUCAAGUGGUGAGAAUCAGGGACUGCUAUGUGGGCCUGCCUUCAGUUAGGGACUGGACCCAGCACCAGAAAGGGCACCACAAGAUUAAGUUAAAGAAACAGACGGCCCAGUUUCUGGCUGGGGCCAAAGCUACAGCAGAUUGUGGCUGGGGAGAAGACUUGGUCUUAAAGGGGAGAGAUGGGUGCACACCCAAAAGCAUUUGUUUUCUGCCUUCCGAAGGCCUCUGGACCGACAAGUCCAGGGAAGACCAGAAAGUAGGUAGCGCACAGCCAACUGAUGAAGAAGGUCUAUAACAAGACCGAGGAACCUGGGAGAUUUCCUUGGGAUUUCCUCAGUGGCUACACCCAACAAGCCUUGGGACACAAGAGAAAGGCCUAAGCCCUAUCCCAAAAGAAAGCCUACUCCAUAGAGAGUGGCUGACCCUACAGCAGACGACUGCAACAAGAUAAGGGCUGGAUUACUGCGUUAUGACUUGGUUUAUGUUUCAAAUAUAGAGCAGGACUUGCAGAUUGAGAUCCCUGGACCAGGAGUGGGAAAUUCUUAAAGGAGCCAGGGGCACUGAACUUGGCAGCAUACCCCCACCCUAGGCAGCUCCCAGCUUCCUGGAAAGGACUGGAUAAAGAUGAAUAGGAGCUUUGCAUUGCGGGGAGGGGGUAAAGAACGGAGUGACAGCUGGGUAUGGGAUUAGGAGAGAAGCGGCUAUACCUGGAGGGUGGGAUGCAGGGGGUAUAGCAGUUGGACAUGAGGGUGUGACUGAACCUGGGUAGGGAGGGGGGAUGUUCCUCCAGGCCCAGGAAGGAGGCUGGAAUUUGAGUAAAACAAAGAUGUAAUUGAGUGCUUGAGUCCGAUGUCUUCAACAAGUCAGGGACUGGAUCUGGAGACCCUAGGCCCCUGCUGGCAAGAGGUUGGCAUUCCUGGAACAGGACUAGACAAAAACAGGAAGGUAAGAUUCAUUGGGCCUUUUACCUGUUUUGACAACAGUAACCUAGCACCAAAGAGCUUUUAUCUUCCCUCCUUAUCUACCCCACCUUUCCUCCCUGUCUCAUCAUCCUGGGAAAGCUGCCCCACCUCAGCAUCUCCAAAACACCCUUAAUAUUACCAUAAAGGGCCUUCCCCCAGCUUCUCUGAAUGUGGCUGGCCUCAGCCAAGAACCCUCCUCAGCCAGAAGGGCCUGCUCUAGGGACCCAUUCCCAUCAGUUUCUUCUGAUAAGACAGGCAGGCCAAGCCAGGAAGUGGGGAGGAGAAGGUGAAGGCAAGUUGGUGCUGGCCUGCCCUCUGCUCCCACCCCACUCACAACUCCCCUAUCAGAAUGUGUGUGUGCUAGUGUGAAUUUGCUUGUGAUUGGAUGACUGUGAAAACACAACUGGGUGGGAGAGGGACUUUGAGUAUAACCGGGGCUAUAUAAUUUUGUCUAUGGUUGUCGGAUCAUGAGUAUGACUUUGUGAGGUUGACCAAGUGAUUGAGGAGUGACUUUGAAUGUGUGGUUAUGGGUAUUUGAGUGUGAAUGUCUAUCAUUAGAUGCUGCUGUGGAUGCUUGACUGCCCUUACUCAUUGUUCUAUCAGUCUCUACAUCACACACUAAUCCUUUCCCCAGCUUCACUGCCCAGGGCUUAGGAGCACAUGGGAAAUGGCUAUCCUAGAUGAGGAAGGAGUCUGUGGCAACAGGCCGAGAAUUAGGGCCCAGGAGUGUCACAGGUUACUACAAUACAUCUCCAACUGCCUCUGACUCACCUAGUGCCCCAGGUAAAAGACACCCAGAUAAAAGGUAGGGGAGGAGGAGAGAGAGAGAAGGAAGAGUCUAGGCUGAGCAACAUGAAGGGGCCCUCAACCUUCUGCAGCCUCCUGCUGCUGUCAUUGCUCCUGAGCCCAGACCCUACAGCAGGUGAGUACUUGGGGGUAUAGAAAGCUGGGGGUCUGGGUGAAUGGGAUGAAGUUGAAAAAGACCCAGGAAAUCCAACCUAACCUCCAGCUAUCUGGCAGAGAGGUUCUUGGUCAGGAUCCCUCUGAACACAUGGCCCUGUUGCCCCCUAGCAUUCCUACUGCCACCCAGCACUGCCUGCUGUACUCAGCUCUACCGAAAGCCACUCUCAGACAAGCUACUGAGGAAGGUCAUCCAGGUGGAACUGCAGGAGGCUGAUGGGGACUGUCACCUCCAGGCUUUCGUGCUUCACCUGGCUCAACGCAGCAUCUGCAUCCACCCCCAGAACCCCAGCCUGUCACAGUGGUUUGAGCACCAAGAGAGAAAGCUCCACGGGACUCUGCCCAAGCUGAAUUUUGGGAUGCUAAGGAAAAUGGGCUGAAGCCCCCAAUAGCCAAAUAAUAAAGCAGCAUUGGAUAAUAA